ACGCUGGUGGCAUGCCUAAUACAUGCAAGUCGAACGAGAAAGUCACUUCGGUGGCAAGUACAGUGGCGCACGGGUGAGUAACGCGUAGGUGACAUGCCUGUUAGUGGGGGACAACAUCGGGAAACCGGUGCUAAUACCGCAUAAGUUAAACGACAUUGAAAAAGUUUAAGAAAGGGGCUUCGGUCUCGCUGACAGAUUGGCCUGCGUAUCAUUAGCUUGUUGGUGGGGUAAUGGCCUACCAAGGCGACGAUGAUUAACUGGUCUGAGAGGAUGAUCAGUCACACUGGAACUGAGACACGGUCCAGACUCCUACGGGAGGCAGCAGUAGGGAAUAUUGCACAAUGGGGGAAACCCUGAUGCAGCAAUGCCACGUGAGUGAGGAAGGCCUUCGGGUUGUAAAGCUCUGUCCUAUAGGAAGAACGGCACUAGGUAACGCUAGUGUUUGACGGUACUAUAGAAGAAAGCACCGGCUAACUCCGUGCCAGCAGCCGCGGUAAUACGGAGGGUGCAAGCGUUGUUCGGAUUUACUGGGCGUAAAGCGCGCGCAGGCGGACUAGCAAGUCAGAUGUGAAAUCUCGGGGCUUUAACCCGAAACUGCGUCUGAAACUGUUAGUCUAAAAUCUCACAGGGGGUAGGGGAAUUUCAC
rnacentral:rRNA from 1 species